rnacentral:sRNA from 1 species
UCCGGGCAUGGAGGUGCAUGCCUGUAAUCCUAGUGGCUUGGGAGGCUGAGGCAGGAGGAUCGUGAGUUCAAACCCAGCCUUAGCAACUUAGUGAGGCCCUAAGCAACUCAGUGAGACCCUGUCUCUG